rnacentral:rRNA from 1 species
CAGCCGCCGCGGGAAUACGUAGGUGGCAAGCGUUGUCCGGAAUUAUUGGGCGUAAAGGGCUCGCAGGCGGUUUCUUAAGUCUGAUGUGAAAGCCCCCGGCUCAACCGGGGAGGGUCAUUGGAAACUGGGAAACCUGAGUGCAGAAGAGGAGAGUGGAAUUCCACGUGUAGCGGUGAAAUGCGUAGAGAUGUGGAGGAACACCAGUGGCGAAGGCGACUCUCUGGUCUGUAACUGACGCUGAGGAGCGAAAGCGUAGGGAGCGAACAGGAUUAGAUACCCCUGUAGUCCCUGUCUCUUAUAC